rnacentral:lncRNA from 1 species
GGAUUUUUAUAGCUGAUUCACUUUCCUAUCCCUUGUUAAGGACUUGAUAAAAUACAUUGUGAAAGUUUAAAAAGUACUGGCAGAAGUUUCUCCACAUGUAGGUGUGGUUAUGUAAAUGUGAAUGAAAACGCCAUAUCAGAUCAGCGGUGUCUUUUCUGCAGCAUUAUAGCAUGUUUCAUCAUACUGAUUACUUUCCUUUACUUACAUUGUGCCAAAGGCCAUCAUUGUAUUUCUCUUGGCUCUUAAUCCUUAUCUUCUGAUGACCAGCAUUAAACAUAAAAAUGAGUCGUCCAUGAGCAACAAAAAGGGUCAUGAAGUUGGUCUCCUUUUGGUCUGAGACGUAGAAAAUCAUUCCAUGAGACGAGUGAGUCUUCAGACUGAUAGAGAACUGAGCUCUUUCACUGAAAUCCUUUGGUAGGUGAUCAAAUUCUUGCCGACUGUUUGCUGUACCUCCAAACUGGUAUGCAUGUUCAGUUGCCUUGGGAUUCAUAGGCAAGUGGCACUGAGGGUCUUUUUGCAUAUUCACUUCUUGAUACAGUUUUUUGAGGCCAGUUGAAGGCUGUGAGGCCUUGUCCUUAUCUCUUCCCACCUUUUUAUUACGGUUUCCUUUAGCUUUUGAUGAGUUUCUUCCUUUCUUAUGGAGGAGAGCAACUGGUGGGGAUUCAACAGGGCAUCCAUAAAAAGAAGUCUGAACUUUCUCAGAGUACCGCUGGAAAUCUUCUACUUCAACCUCCCGAUCCAAUCUAGUGAAGUAUGCGUUGCUUAUGCAGCCAGUGAAGUUGGCUUGCUGUGUUUUGAGCGGAGAGCCACCAAAAUAGAACUUCUUGAUGCUAUCAGGGCUUUUCCCUGCUCUGUCCUUCACUGGAUUCUUCUUGCUUUGUUUCUUG